GAUCGCGUAGCUCAGCUGGCAGAGCAUUGGGCUAGUAUUCCAAAGGUCGUAGGUUCGAUUCCCACCGUGGCCA
rnacentral:tRNA from 1 species